AUUGAACGCUGGCGGAAUGCUUUACACAUGCAAGUCGAACGGUAGAGGGGGGCAACCCCCUUGAGAGUGGCGAACGGGUGAGUAAUAUAUCGGAACGUGCCCAGUCGUGGGGAUAACGUAGCGAAAGUUACGCUAAUACCGCAUACGAUCUAAGGAUGAAAGCGGGGGAUCGCAAGACCUCGCGCGAUUGGAGCGGCCGAUAUCAGAUUAGGUAGUUGGUGAGGUAAAGGCUCACCAAGCCAACGAUCUGUAGCUGGUCUGAGAGGACGACCAGCCACACUGGAACUGAGACACGGUCCAGACUCCUACGGGAGGCAGCAGUGGGGGAAUUUUUGGGACAAUGGACGCAAGUCUGAUCCAGCCAUUCCGCGUGCAGGAUGAAGGCCUCGGGUUGUAAACUGCUUUUGUACGGAACGAAAAGGUUUGUCUUAAUACGAUGAGCUCAUGACGGUACCGUAAGAAUAAGCACCGGCUAACUACGUGCCAGCAGCCGC
rnacentral:rRNA from 1 species